AAUCAACGCUGGCGGCGUGCCUCAGACAUGCAAGUCGAACGAUUAAAGCUCUCUUCGGAGAGUGUAUAGAGUGGCGCACGGGUGAGUAACACGUAAGUAAUCUACCCUCGAGUGGGGAAUAACAACCGGAAACGGUUGCUAAUACCGCAUAAUGCAGCGGCACCGCAAGGUGACAGUUGUUAAAGAUUUAUCGCUUGAGGAGGAGCUUGCGGCAGAUUAGCUAGUUGGUAGGGUAACGGCUUACCAAGGCUACGAUCUGUAACCGGUCUAAGAGGACGGUCGGUCACACUGACACUGAAUAACGGGUCAGACUCCUACGGGAGGCAGCAGUCGGGAAGUUUUGGGUCGAAUGGGCGGAAAGCCUGACCCAGCAACGCCGCGUGAAGGAUGAAGUAUUUCGGUAUGUAAACUUCGAAAGAAUAGGAAGAAUUAAUGACGGUACUAUUUAUAAGGUCCGGCUAACUACGUGCCAGCAGCCGCGGUAAAG
rnacentral:rRNA from 1 species